rnacentral:tRNA from 1 species
GGCAGUGUGGCCUAGAAGAUAGGAGCACCAGACUGGGACUCAGGAGACCUGGAUUCUAUUGCCAGUUUUGCCA